rnacentral:rRNA from 1 species
GACGAACGCUGGCGGCGUGCUUAACACAUGCAAGUCGAACGGAAAGGCCCUGCUUUUGUGGGGUGCUCGAGUGGCGAACGGGUGAGUAACACGUGAGUAACCUGCCCUUGACUUUGGGAUGACUUCAGGAAACUGGGGCUAAUACCGGAUAGGAGCUCCUGCUGCAUGGUGGGGGUUGGAAAGUUUCGGCGGUUGGGGAUGGACUCGCGGCUUAUCAGCUUGUUGGUGGGGUAGGGGCUUACCAAGGCUUUGACGGGUAGCCGGCCUGAGAGGGUGACCGGCCACAUUGGGACUGAGAUACGGCCCAGACUCCUACGGGAGGCAGCAGUGGGGAAUAUUGCACAAUGGGCGGAAGCCUGAUGCAGCAACGCCGCGUGCGGGAUGACGGCCUUCGGGUUGUAAACCGCUUUCGCCUGUGACGAAGCGUGAGUGACGGUAAUGGGUAAAGAAGCACCGGCUAACUACGUG